rnacentral:sRNA from 2 species
GCGGAUUUUUUCAAUUCAAGUUCCUUGUUUUUUUUUUUUCCUUUUUUUCCCCGCCCUUCAGAGAAGAAAGGUUAUUAUUCCACAGAGCAGCUACUGUCUUUUUUGGGCUUUCGUUGCAUGUGUAACAGUUGCUCCAACACUGCCCCUCUACCAUGCGUUAUUAUUAUUGGUUAUUGCUGGUAGCUAUAUAAACUGUGAUUGAAGAGGGUUCAUUACAUGUCAAACGAUUCGGCCUUGAACAAUGAUGGGGGAAGAUGCUUUUGUUCUCAACUGUGGGUUACUUGGAUAAUGACAUUUAUCACUCGCCUCGUGAUAUUUUUUCUCUUUUUUCCUCUGUGUUUGGUGGGGAGGGAGGGGCGAAAGAAGAUAGUGAGCGAUUGGGGGAUUGUAUAGGCAUACACUCUUCUGUUUUUUGACAUAUUCCCUCCUUUACGUCUUUCCUCCCAACGGACGCAGAGUGGGCCAGAAAUAAGAAGCAGCU